UACGAAGGGGGCUAGCGUUGCUCGGAAUCACUGGGCGUAAAGCGCACGUAGGCGGAUUGCUAAGUCAGGGGUGAAAUCCUGGAGCUCAACUCCAGAACUGCCUUUGAUACUGAAGAUCUUGAGUUCGGGAGAGGUGAGUGGAACUGCGAGUGUAGAGGUGAAAUUCGUAGAUAUUCGCAAGAACACCAGUGGCGAAGGCGGCUCACUGGCCCGAUACUGACGCUGAGGCACGAAAGCGUGGGGAGCAAACAGGG
rnacentral:rRNA from 1 species